ensembl:rRNA 5S_rRNA 5S ribosomal RNA
GUCAUACCACCCUGAAUGUACCCAAUCUUGGAAGCUAAACAGUGUCUGGCCUGGUAAGAACUUGGAUGGGAGAUUUCUCAGGAGAAAUCUUGCGGGCC